UUUUCCAGCUCUUAUGUGCCCUGCAUGGUUUUAAGCAGACAAAGAUGGAUGUUAAAAUGGGGCUUUAUGUCUGGCUACAGUGAGGUGGCAUGUAACAAACCUAGCUGGAGCACAAAAUGUCUGCAGUGAUAAUACUCAGGAACAAACUUCUUAUGGUAUCCUUACAAAUUCUAAUGAAAAAACUGGAAAGAUCAGCCCCCUGUACUUCUUUAUAAUUAAAGAAUAAUUAAAUUAUUUUAGGAAUUGAUGACUUCUGUUGUGUAUCACUCCCCUUUCAGACAAUCCUAUCAGCUACGUAGCUCUAUCACAGAGGGAAGGAGGAAACUCAUUUAAUCUGGCUACUUGUUCUGAAUGCUAUAUGAAUGUAAUAAAUUUCCAGUGACUUCAAGUACUACGGAUAAUGUCUAUUUCUGCAACUGAUUUAAAAACUCAUUAGUAGAACCAUUUUCCUUUUAAAAUUCCUGGACCCCCCCACUAACGUACCUGAUUCUGAAAUAUAUUAGGAUGCCCUGAAUUUUCACUUAACAGUUGAAUAACUUCCUGUGUAAAAGAAUCAAUCUGAAAUCUAUUUCCCUUCAGAGGACAUCCAACCAGCCACAAAAGCCAUUUCUUUUUUAAGGGAGCUGGUUUGUCUUAUUGCUGAAUCACCAAAUUAACCAUUAUCCAUAAAACUGCAUGGAUUUUCAUAAAAUGAACGAACUUACCUUACAUCAACUGCUAGGUAAGUCACAAAACACAUACAGGUCACUCGCUGGAAGAAUUUAUAAUCUAAAGCUCAUUUCCGCAAUAGGAUCUCUGAAGAUGGAUACCCAUGUUAAAUGCAAUCAAAGUAAAAAAGGAUGCAACAUAAACCCAAGAUUAAUGGGACUUGAGUCAGCUGACCCGUGUUAGAGAAUCCUGGAACUGAGUGUCUGCGCUGAUUCUUAAUCCAACAUUUAAACUUUUCUAACCUAGGCUGAAACCUGGGGUUCUGGCAUCCACACGUAAUGCAUAGAUCCUAGUCAAAUCAUUCAUAUCACCAGAGUCACUAUCACCUGCCCAAGACAUGGACAUUCUUAGACCUUUAAUUGUGGUGCUCUGUGGGAAACUUUACUGCAUGUUACAGGCAGUUUGAACAGCCCAUCAAUGAAGCCUGAAUAGGAUAAUUGUUGUUCUCUGCUUUACAAGCUACUGGAGCCAUAAACAUGGAGGAAGAUUCUUUUAAAGAACUGCUCUUGUACUUUCAUUCCUGUGUCAGAAAAUGGGUAAAUUAUCCAUAAGGUGGUGGUGGGCAUUUCAGUGGUGCUUUCUGAACCACCAAAAGAACCUCACAGAUUUCAUGAUGGAGACCAGGAGGAGCAGAAGGCAGAGGAGGAAGAAUAUCCUGAAAUGUCAGACUUGCACUGGCAGAAGCUGGUCAGCACAACCAGGCAUUAUUACUACUGUGUAUGGCAUUGGUCACAGGCUCAAAAAGGCAAUUUGAAAUUUGUCAGCUGUUUGUCUUUUCUCUCACUCCAAUUCAGUGACAUUUAAAGGGAUCUACUGCAGAGCCUAGAAGCAGAGACUUAGCUGUGACUAAGCUGUGACUCAGGUAGGGAUUCAAAACACAUAUGGGAAAAAAUAGAGCUGCCCAAAACAUGGUUUGGCAGUUUGUGGGGAAAAAAAGAUAUGUCAAUUAUCUGGUUUCAUUCCAUUUCAGAACAGGCAGCAACAGGAAGUAGCUGGCCCAAGUGUCUUAAUGCCUGGUGGAAUUCAUCCCUGGGGCAAUACCGGUGAUAAGCUGCCCAGAACAGUUUACCUUGGAAUCCCAUACCAGUACAUCCAAUUUCCAAAGUUUAUGGCAGGAUGCCUGGGACCAAUAAGCUCCCAGUUGCAGAAUCAGGCACUGAGCCCAAGCCAAAGUCCAGGUGCUCAGGGUUUCCAGACUCCUAGCUUCAAAGCAGUGAGCCUGGAAGCCUUCAGUGUCCCCAGGCUUUCUUAGGUCCUUUGCAGGCACUUAGAUGCCCUGACCCCAGUGCCACUGACCCUGGCAGUCUGUGUCCAUGAUUCUGGGGUAGCUUGCUGGGAGAGGUUGAAUGAAUUGGUGUUUUCUGAUUGUGACACUUUGCCUCAUAUUUUUAUGGAAAUAUAGUUUUGAAUAAUAAUAUGCAUAAUUCAAAUAUGCUUUAUGAAAAAUGGAACAAGUAACCUAUCAUUCAAGAGCUUGUGAUUUCCAGAAUGUGUACAUUCUCUUUUCAUGAAUGUAUCCAUCUUGUAUAUGAAUGUAAGCCUACUUAUUAAUCUAGAAUGUUCAGUGAGAGCCAUUAGUGCUGCUUACAGGCUUAAUGGCCCAGUGCUCAAGGUAACAACCUGUAAAUGACUUUAUGUUUCCUGUAAUCCCAAACUUUGAUGAUUCUACAAAGACAAGUGACCAUGCCACAUCAUGCUGGAAUCCAUCUUGAAUCCGAUAUUUUUCCAUGGGGAUAGGAAGAGAAAACAAAGGAUUCCUACCCUGGGGAAAUUCUAUUUAAGGAAUUGGAAGCAAUCAGCAUUGUCUUCAGCUGGCAUUUGAAAUGGCUUUCCCACCCUAAGAGGAUACACAUAAAGAAACCAGGAAACAAAGAACACUUAGGCCUCAAGGAGCUGCUAGACCCAGACCAGAGAAAAGUUCAUCUCUGUCUUGGAGAUUUUUACCUCUAUAAUAAGAACUAAGGAAAAUAUGCCAACAUGUCAAAAUAAUAAUGUAGCACAUGAAAACUCUGUCUUGGCUCACGUUGCAGCCAAAGUAUCGGCCUUGCAAACUACAGAAAACACCUAGGACCAGCAGAGCUGCUGAGGCAAUGGGAAAAGACUCAGCACCUGGGCCCCAAUGGUCCAUUUCUUUUCAUCAUGUUGUACUACAUGGUGCUUGAGCACCAAUAACUCAAUAAACAGCUAGUCCCACCGUCAAAUACUUCUAACCCCAUCUAAGCAACCUCUGGAAUACUAUCUUCAGCUGCUGCUAACCUGCAGCUUCAUUGGUGAUAGUCUGUGAUGUAAUGUUGAAGAUUCAGAUUCAGACCUUGCUUUCUUAGUAUGUAUUGAUUCAAGUAAUUAAAGAUAGUAUAAUGUAUAUGCACAAGGGAGCAGAAUUAAUAUUGCACACAGAACCAUAAAUCUGGCAUUUCUAAUUUUCAAUUGUCUUACUUUAAAACCUAAACAAUGUCACUAUUGUAUUUAUUUCAUAAUACGCUAGAGAUUAAUUUUCAUGGUUGGUAUAUUCCAGCUGAGUAACUCUAUCCAUAACAAUGUACAUGUGGAAAGUACCCUUGGAUUAUAUCUAUUUUUAAUGGCUGAUAAUUAAUGGUACACACUAUCCUUAUCCCUAAGUCACGGGACAGAAUUACUAAUUAAAACGAUAUCGAAGAGCUAUUAUUUUUAACUUUAUUUCCUCAUAAUAAUAAUAAUGGUGUCUCUUCCUCUGUAUCUUGUGGUUGUGAGUUCCAUAGAUAAAUUAUGUUGCAUGCUUUUUAAAAUCCUACUACUAGUAAUUAAUUGCUUUUUUAAUUUCCUUGUAUUUUGUCUUGUUUCUGUAUUGGGAGAGGGUAAAUAUUAGUGGUAUGUCUACCUGCUAUGUCAUUUUCUAUGUUCACUGCUCAAGUUAUGUAAAUGGCCCUUAAAGUAUAAAUACAAUUUAUGACCACUUUAUGGUCCAUUUACACUUUGGCAUUUAUAUUGUCAGGACCCUUGUGUUGCAAAUGGCUGCAGGUGAGAACUCCAUUUGUUUUCAUGCUCUGAAAUAUAAAAGUGUUGCUAUUUGUGACAGGAAUGUUUUGGGAUGCAAUAUUGAUAUCAUUAUGAGGUUUUAUUAAAUUGAAAUGUAAUAAAAGGGGAAAGCAAGAUUAUACAAUUAUUUGGGCUAUUAGACUCUGUUGUAGUUAGAGGCCUGUUUUAUUAGUGUAAUGCCUCAUGCAAACAGUUAUCCAAAGGCUGAGUUUAUGGCUAAAAAUGUGCAGGUCCAAAAUGUUAAUCCUAGGUCAUGAAUUCUACAUUCACAGUGUGAGAGAUAAAUUAGUGACCACAAGCAUGGGAUUUCACAGAAGCAUUACAGAAGUAAUUCUGAAAUAAGAAGAAAUGGGGGUAGGGCCCUUUAGCAACAUGGUAGUUAUGCAGGAAGUAGGGAGUUAGACUACAUUAAUAUAUAGGCAUUGCUAAGAAAGGAUUGACACAAAUCAUUAAUAUUAAUGAUUGGAAGUAUCAUUAUGGAAUGCCACAUAUGGAUAAUGAGCAGGCAUUAUUAUGGUCACAGAAAAUAAUCAAAUACUGUUGUUUACCCAAUAGGUUACAUAAAGAAGGGGUACAAAAUAGUCAGUCAAGUGUUGCAGUUGUUAGAUACCUGAGACUCCUGAAUUGGUGUCAGCUGAUUGGUGGCCUUCUGCAAUGAUCCACUAUCAGUGUGUUCUACUCUUUAUUUCUUGUAAUUGUUGUUAGUAUGUUAUCAUACCUUGAAAGUAUUUGUUAUAUAUGAGGCUUUAUGCUGUUCGAUCAUAUUAACGGGUAGAAUUAAAUUAUUUUUAUUUACAGGUAUAAUUCAAUACAUAUUGCUUACACAAAAAUAAAUGUUUGUAAGAGAAACUUCUGGAAAGAAGCUGUGUUAAUUAAUAAAGAGCAUGUAUGAGUUAUUAUUAAUAAAUUUUAGUGUGGAAAGUUUAUAGUUUCAUUAUUUGGUCAGGCUACAGAUGUGAAGUGUGCUAGGGAUGCAGUAAUAAUUGAUAAUGUGCUACUUCAGAGGCCAAGAAUAUUGAUUUUAAAAUAGACGUUUAAAAUUAAAUAUAUUAAAAU